UAGCAAUACCAAUAAAACCACUCCACAUAGGUAAUUAGUCCAUGUAUUUGAACUAAGAAUGUUCUAGAUACUUCACAAAAAGCUGUCCACAUUUUACACUGUUUUCUGUAUCUCUGAAGAACACCAUGAAAUGAGAGUUAUCGAUGUUUCGGUUUAUAAGUGAGACAAAACACAGCAGGUCACAUUGAGCCACUGUUGAAAAACUAUCUGGUGGUCUUAUUUUAACUAAAUUUAGUAGGUCAAAAUUUCUGAAUUUAUAGUAAGCCAGAAGACUGGUGUUUGCUUGGCUGACUCAAGAACUGAACCGUACAGAAAUGAACAAUCAGGUCUUCAACACUGGGAUGCAAUUUCAGGAUAGUGAUCAUCUAUAGUGGGCUCAAAAGCCAAAUGAGAAGAAGGCAUUUGUGUGUUGCAACCGGGAUAGUAAUGUUCACCUAGCCCCGGAUGAGUCUGUGUGUGUUUUGUGUUUUCUGGACAUCCCAGGAUGCUGUGGUGAAACCCAGCCAACAGGAAUCACAGAAUGGCUUCAUAGAUCAUUUUAUAAAAUCGGCUCUCCCGGCAGAUUUACUUCAAGAUGGGAAAAGUGUCUUAUUUUCAACAUGGUCAUUUGUAUCUACAGCACUCUAUUCUGUUAAACAGCCU
rnacentral:lncRNA from 1 species